GCCUUGCUCGUUCUUUCAUUGGUGCCGAAAGCCAGGAGGGAGAAUGCCUCGCUGCUCGAGGGCCCCCUCUCUCAAGGUUUGCCAUCCUGGUCCACUCUUUCGAGUGCUGUUUACAACACCAGAUCUUCAGUAGGCUUAAGCCCGGCAUUCCUACACCUUCAUCAGAAGAGCCAACGAUCGUCACCUGUCAUUAAGUACUCUUGUCAAUGCUCCCCCUUGUUUCUGGCCUCUCUUGGGUCCUCUCUUCACCCUAUGUCUGGAGAUUCAAGGCAAGUGACCCUAAGGGGCCCCUCCAGCCAGACCCCCUUUUCUUCCUUUCAGAUCCCCCCUUACUUGCUUGGAUCUGGUCAGUAGUGGGGCCGUUGUGUGUUGUCCUUCUGACAAAGCACUUAGGUGUCCAGAGCAUGGUGACCCCUGAAUAAGUGUGAUCAUAAGAGAGCACUUUACCAGUUGCCUGCUGGGCCUAAGGAGGAACAUGUGUACUUUAUUUACCCUCCCAGUUUCGUAAAAAUUUCAAGUAUCAGUAUUUAAAGUUGAGGUGUUUUACAUAAAACCUGUAGAGAGAGCUGACUGCUCUCAAAGGGAAAUAUGGUAACAGUGAGCCACUGUCCUCCCUUGGCCGCUUCGAGAAAGGCAAAGAGAGAAGCAAGCUGGUACACCCAGUUAGGAGAAAGUUUGAAGAGCAGCCUAAAUAGAGAGGGGAGAGAGCUAGAUUGGACUAGGAAUGAAGAGUGGAAUUGAGGGUGUUAGGUGCAGGUCAGGCUGGUCUGCAGGUCAUGCCAAACAAAGUUAGCUGCAGAAUGACCUGGCUUCUCAAACCCUCUGUCUGGUUCUUUUUAUCACCUGUUUGCUUCAAGCCCAAACGCCCAAGCCCCCGCUCAAGGCUGAACACUUAACCCCCUUUGUGCCAACAAGGCAGCUUGCAGACCCAUAGACCUCAUUAGAUUUGGGCUAUAAAAACUCCCUGUGCCUAUUCCUUCCCUUUAUCAUAAAGUUCAUUCAGACUCAGGUGGGUAAAAAAUUUCUAAUCAAGCUUUUACCAGCCUCUCCUCAGGAAUUACCAGCUCCUGGCUACUGAUGAUACCUCUAGUGGAGACCUAUGCCGAAUGGACUAACAUCAUCAUGGAUCUGUGGUGGCAAGGAAUCUUUGUUGAUCUGGUUCCUGAAGUUAUACUGGUCUUCUCUGCCCUGCUAUGGGGGCUCCUUACUUCCCUCCUUCUUUCUCCCACACCGUCCCAUUUCAGCAGCAAGCAGCCAGAAUGAGUUGACGCCCACUCUCAUUUAAUAACAAAGAGGGAGGAAUGUUGGGAGUCACCCCGGCUCCAAAGACUAACUUCCCCAUCCCCCCAAAAGAGCCAUCCAAUGGUGAGCCCUGCUAGGCUCACAUGAUCCUGCCGUCCAAUGGGGAGCCCUGCUGGUUCACCUGAUCCUUACCCUCCAAUCAAAAAGCACCCAUGCCAACUGUCAAACCACCCCUGGCUCUAUAAAUAUGCAGAGCUGUUCCUCAAUAAACGGGCAUUUGCUCCAA